rnacentral:rRNA from 1 species
AUGAACGCUAGCUACAGGCUUAACACAUGCAAGUCGAGGGGCAGCAUGAACUUAGCUUGCUAAGUUUGAUGGCGACCGGCGCACGGGUGAGUAACACGUAUCCAACCUGCCGAUGACUCGGGGAUAGCCUUUCGAAAGAAAGAUUAAUACCCGAUGGCAUAGUUCUUCCGCAUGGUAGAACUAUUAAAGAAUUUCGGUCAUCGAUGGGGAUGCGUUCCAUUAGGUUGUUGGCGGGGUAACGGCCCACCAAGCCUUCGAUGGAUAGGGGUUCUGAGAGGAAGGUCCCCCACAUUGGAACUGAGACACGGUCCAAACUCCUACGGGAGGCAGCAGUGAGGAAUAUUGGUCAAUGGACGAGAGUCUGAACCAGCCAAGUAGCGUGAAGGAUGACUGCCCUAUGGGUUGUAAACUUCUUUUAUACGGGAAUAAAGUGAGGCACGUGUGCCUUUUUGUAUGUACCGUAUGAAUAAGGAUCGGCUAACUCCGUGCCAGCAGCCGCGGUAAUACGGAGGAUCCGAGCGUUAUCCGGAUUUAUUGGGUUUAAAGGGAGCGUAGGCGGACGCUUAAGUCAGUUGUGAAAGUUUGCGGCUCAACCGUAAAAUUGCAGUUGAUACUGGGUGUCUUGAGUACAGUAGAGGCAGGCGGAAUUCGUGGUGUAGCGGUGAAAUGCUUAGAUAUCACGAAGAACUCCGAUUGCGAAGGCAGCCUGCUGGACUGUAACUGACGCUGAUGCUCGAAAGUGUGGGUAUCAAACAGGAUUAGAUACCCUGGUAGUCCACACAGUAAACGAUGAAUACUCGCUGUUUGCGAUAUACAGUAAGCGGCCAAGCGAAAGCGUUAAGUAUUCCACCUGGGGAGUACGCCGGCAACGGUGAAACUCAAAGGAAUUGACGGGGGCCCGCACAAGCGGAGGAACAUGUGGUUUAAUUCGAUGAUACGCGAGGAACCUUACCCGGGCUUGAAUUGCAACUGAAUGAUGUGGAGACAUGUCAGCCGCAAGGCAGUUGUGAAGGUGCUGCAUGGUUGUCGUCAGCUCGUGCCGUGAGAUGUUGGGUUAAGUCCCGCAACGAGCGCAACCCUUAUCCUUUGUUGCCAGCGGUCCGGCCGGGAACUCAAAGGAGACUGCCAGUGAUAAACUGGAGGAAGGUGGGGAUGACGUCAAAUCAGCACGGCCCUUACGUCCGGGGCUACACACGUGUUACAAUGGGGGGUACAGAAGGCAGCUACACGGCGACGUGAUGCUAAUCCCGAAAGCCUCUCUCAGUUCGGAUUGGAGUCUGCAACCCGACUCCAUGAAGCUGGAUUCGCUAGUAAUCGCGCAUCAGCCACGGCGCGGUGAAUACGUUCCCGGGCCUUGUACACACCGCCCGUCAAGCCAUGAAAGCCGGGGGUACCUGAAGUGCGUAACCGCAAGGAGCGCCCUAGGGUAAAACUGGUGAUUGGGGCU